GACGAACCGAGCGAACGUUAUUCGGAAUCACUGGGCUUAAAGGGCGCGUAGGCGGGCGGCCAAGUCAGGGGUGAAAGCCCCCAGCUCAACUGGGGAAGUGCCUCUGAUACUGGUCAUCUUGAGGGAGGUAGGGGCGUGCGGAACUUCCGGUGGAGCGGUGAAAUGCGUAGAUAUCGGAAGGAACACCGGUGGCGAAAGCGGCGCGCUGGACCUCUUCUGACGCUGAGGCGCGAAAGCCAGGGGAGCGAACGGG
rnacentral:rRNA from 1 species